CCAGAAGUCCGCAAUGCGCGUGCGCCUUCUUCAGUCUGACUUGGCUUAUUAUUCCAGGGCCUUUUCGGCCACCGUAGCGAAGAAGAGGGGCUGUCUUGAGCUUCCGGCAAAUCUCCGGCAAGCUGAAUACCAUCCCUGGCAGUGGGAUGAACACCGGAAUAGAGGCCGAAGUUCGCUGCUGCUUCGGCGCCACCUGACCUGGAGUGACUGCUGAGUUCUGGGGACUACUCAGGGCCCCGAAGUCUGUGGCGGUAAGAACAUUAAAAAAGAAAGGAAGUACAGAGGGUGUGUAACAAUGGAAGAUUGCAUGGAAAGUUCUCCUUUGCUGUUAGUACAUCUCAGGAAAACAUUCAGCUGGAACAUAACCAGAUAAGGUGUUUUGGAAUAACGUGCCUUCAAGAGUUUAGACUCAUAAAAUGGGCCCAGAGCUGCUGAAAUGACUUGCAGUCCCAGAGCUGCUACAGUGACUUAGCAGUUGGCAAGGUGUCCCCUGAACUAAAGAAGUUGUAUAUUGGGCCAGAAGCAGACCUGGAAGAAGGUGAUGACAAAGGCCUGCCAACAGUGCUGAGACUGUAAGUUAAUAUCAUUCACAUUUCCAUCUUUGUAGGCAGCCUGUGAUGUGAGUUUGGAGACUGCCCAGAUGAAAGCCCUGAAUUGGAAUUCAAGAUCUUUGAAAUUAGCCCUGGCUCUAUCAUCACUAGCUGUGUGACCUUGGGCAAGUAAUUUAAUCUCUCAGAAGUCUGAGUUUCCUCAUCUGGAAGAAGAAUUCCAGUUCAACAUUCUGAUUUUUAAGAUGAAAACUGCCAAUCUGCACAUUGUGUGAGUGGCUAACAUCUGAAUAGCAUUUAAUAUUGUACGAAGCUUUUCUUCAGCUGCCUUGCUAUGCAGACAUGAUUACCAUAAUUUUCCCAGUGCAUAAAUGGUCUUGUAGGAUCAGGUGAAUUGCCCAAGGUCUCACAAUUAAUAAAUAGCAGAAGUAGGACUUGGACAUAAACCUACUGUCUCCAAAUUUGGUGUUCUUUUCCCUGGUCUGAAUUAGUGACUAGGUAAUCCAUAGGAUGUGAAAAAGAACACAAAAGUAAAGACAGUGGAUGGCAGAAAGAAAACAGCAGAGGAUUUAAAUCUUUGAGGAUUAACUUUGAAUCCAAGCUCUGCCAUUUACUGAUUUAGAGUCCUAGAAAAGCCAUUUUUUUUCCUGUUUGGCAAAAAUAGGCAGGGCUGACAGUCACCUCAGAAACAGUGGUACAGCCAUACUGCUUAUUAAAAUAUUGAAAUCCUUCUGUAUUAUUUGAUGACUAGCCAUUCCAUUUGUCCCCCUCCUUUCAGAUCCCCCCCAUAUUCCCAUGAUUGAGCAACAAAAGAGUUAAUGUGGGACCCAGCGGGGGGCAUUAAGGAUCCAUUCCAUUUCAGGGAGGUAUAGUUGGUCCCAAACCAUAUUGGUUGUUAAAUAUUUUUAAUAUCAAGAAUGAUUAGCAAUACUAAUGAUAACAUUCUUCCCCACUUCAGUGGGCUGCUGUUGAAGAUCAGAUAAUAUAAAACAAUGGAGAUGACAGAUCAGCUAUAAACCUUAAAAGCAAUGUUUAAAAAUGUCAUAGCAAUGACCUCUGGGGAAAAAAGUUCUGUUAUACAGAAAAUAAUGCAUAGGAUUUUACCUUGGUGAGAUUGUUGCCUAUUAGUCUAUUUAAGACUCUCAUAUGGUAAAGGAACUUAUUUUACAUCUUUAACUUUGAAUUUUCUAAUGUUUGGGAAUGGAACUCAUUUCUCAACCAUAAAACACCUAUCACAUUCUCUGCUGAUUUUGUGGAUUUUGGUUUUUGACCCUUAACUUACUGUUUUCUAUAUCUUUACCUAUUCUUAUAUAGUAUGUCUUUCUGUGCAGUGGCUCACAUGGUCCCUACCCUAGAUGCUGCUUUAGUCCAGGGUUAAAGGCACUCAACUCCCCAUGGCAGGUUUAUCACAGAGCAGAGGUCUCUAGAGUCCAGCUAUCCUAGAAUAACAAGAAUAAGGAAAAUGAUAGCAUCAUCAAAAACAAUGGCAGGACAUAUUUACUGAGUGCUUUUUACAUGUUGAGGACCCUGCUGUGUGCUUUACAUAUUCUACUGAUCAUGGUGCUUGACUCCAUUUUACCCCACAUGAUUAGUCUAAGCUAGGGGUCAGCAAACCACAGCCUGCAAGCCAUCUAGUCCCUGGCCUGUUUUUGGAGGACCAUGAGCUAAGAAUAUUUUUUACAUUUUUAUAGGGUUGAAAGAAGAAGAACAUGCUACAGAGAUUGUGUGUGGCCCACAAAGCCUAAAAUUGACAUUAUUUUGUCUUUUACAGAAAAGUGCCAAUACCACUUUCCUUACUAGUGAUUGGAUUAAGUUAGGCAUGUGGUCCAUUCAGACAACAAAUAGUUAUUAAGUCCUAACCACUGUUUUGAAUGUUGGGGAUACAUCAGUAAGCAAAACAGACAAAAAUUCCUGCCUUCAUGUAUCUUUAUUGUAGUUUUAGUUAAUGAGAUAUAAGUUUGUGGUUGUUUGGUAAAGGUUUCUCACAUUUAAGUAGGCAAUAGUGAAAAAGAUAUUCCUUUCUACCUCUAAGUGUUUCUUUCUUUAAAUGUGAUACUUCUAAUUUAUGAUCAUGAGGGGAGCCAGCUCAAGACAGAGUUAACACAUCAAAGGGGACAGAAGAGAAAGUCAGAAAGAAAUUAAUUAAGCUGCUGAGUCAAUCAACCUUGAAAUCUGCCACACCUAAGACCUACUAAUAUAUAAUGUUUUCUUUGUUUUGGUUUUCUAUGGCAUACUUAUACACAUAUGUUACUCAAUUUAAUCCUUAUAACAACCCUAUGAAGUACUUACUGUUCUCAUUUUGCAGAAGACAAAUGUAAAGAUCAGAGAAAUUAAUUAAUUUCGUAGUCCGCAGUUAGUGGAAGAGCCAUGAUGGAAACCUAGGUCUCUCUAGGUCUCUCAGGUCUCUGGUUUCUCUCUCUCAUGGACUUUCUAAGCAGUGAGAGUUGUUAGAGGAAAAGGCAGGAAGCCAACAUGAGGACAGUUUUUAUAUCCUGAGCCUGUAUAUAGACUGCAUUACUGAGUUUCAUCCUUUUGCUUAGACCUAGAACAAUGUUUCUUGACCCCCAUCCCACAAUGAGAAGGUAGCAUUUUUCCAUUUAUUGAGAAGUCAUUACCCUUAGACGGUUGUAUUAAUAUAUAUAAGGAACCAAGCACUGAAAUCUCCCAGGAAGGGGCAGAUCUAUCAAUUUCUCUCCAUUUUUCCCACCACCAUUUAGAUCACUUCUCACUUGGUCUGCUGCAGUAACAGACUCGCACCUGGUCUUUGUUCGUUUCACUGUGGCCUUCUAAUCCACUCUCUACACUGUAACUGGAGGAUAAAAACAAAUUUUCAAUAUGGUCUGUAAAGACUGUUCAGCUUCAUAUUUCCUCAGGCACCCUCCUGCUUUCUCUGUUCCAGCCACACUGGCCUUGAUUGGCCAUCAGCUUGUGCCUGGAAUGAUCUUUCUUUUUAUGCCCAAUAAACACCUAUUUGUCUUGUGGAUAUCUAUUCAAGUUUUCCUUUUUCAUGCAAUCCUUUUCUGAUCUCCCUGACUGGAUUGACCCCUAUUGUUUGUCCUCAUCAGGCCAUGUACCUCCCUUCAAAGCACAUGGCACAAUUGUAGUUUUCCACUAGUUAAUGUGAUUAUCUGUUUAAGUUAUUUACCGUACUGUAUUUUAUGUUAUAGGAGAGCAGUGGCCACAUCAGUUACCAUUGUAAACCCACUG